UCUCCGUUGGUGAACCAGCGGAGGGAUCAUUACAGGACUCGCAAGACUCCUUCACCCUGUGAACCUCACUACAAGCACGUUGCUUCGGCGGGUGUCCCGGCGGGGGUUUUCCCUCGCCGGGGCGCACAGCCCGCCGGCAGCCUACUACACUCUGUCUCUUUGCGUUGGCAUCUCGAGAAAAAACAAACAAGUUAAAACUUUCAACAACGGAUCUCUUGGUUCUG
rnacentral:misc_RNA from 1 species